GGUUCGCUUUUAGCAAGAGCUGUUUCGCUAAAUCAACUGAGAUCACGCCUGCGCUGCAUCCCAUCCCACCAAGAUUGAAGCUCUUAAUAUCGCUCCUCAGCUUGUAAUGGUUCACGAUCAUGGAGGUCAGAGACGGAGUCGGAUUAAACAAGCUACAAUUCACUAUCAGAAUACCGAUAUCAUUCGGUUUAAGGCCAGUUGUCUGAAAUAGAGAGUCGAGUGCUCCAAACAUAACCGCCUCAGCCUCAGCGCGCGCCUCCGCCAUGUUCAAAUUAGGCGGCCUGGAAGUAAUUCCCGCGGGCAAAUAAGUCUCGUCGCCUAGCCCAGACCGCAUAGCCAAGCGUCUUUGAAACUGAACCAUCUCCUCACCAAAUUCACCGCAAUCAUCACUCAUCUUUAUAAACGCUUCAUUCGACAUUUUUCUCGCAUCUUCGGGUUUAUAACACGCGAAGUCGACGAGAUAAAUAGGCCGGGGCCUCUUGGCCCAGUAAACUCCGAGUAAAAACAAGAACAGGAUCGCCAGAGAAGCCAUGACCGCAGUAUCGAGCGUCUCGAGAAUGGGGCUGCUCCAGGCCCGGAUCUGAGGGUGGUGAAACGAGAAGUCAUUGGCGGUUAAAUGAGUGGCGAGGAACAGAGGCAGAACCACCACAAGAAGAAACACGAGAAGCGCGGCGACGGGGUUAAAACGGUACCCCGUGCCGUAUCCCAGCUUGACGUAUUUGAGCUUAACGGACUGGAGAAAGUCCGGGAGGCGUUGCUUGAUCUUGAUCACUACCGACGACGAGUCUUUCACGGCCAACUCUGCUGUUAAUCUCUCCUGUUUCAUGUCUAUAUUAUUGCUAGUACUAGUACUUGGACCAGGACUAGCCAUUGUUAUAUAAAAAAAUAACAACAAUGUCUCUUACAAUGAAGAAAAAGCUGGGUGUAUUGGUUAGAGUAGGUUGGGGGAUAAUGAAUGUGGCGAAGAGGGAGAUGAAAUAUAUAGAGAGAGGGUGGCAAGGAAGGUGAGGAGGCACACAGUAGCAGACUAGCUGGAGCUGGAUGGAAUGGGAGUCAUUAAGAAGAUGGGUGAGGGGAUUGGAUGAUGAAUGUGGUUAGUCUUGAAUUGCAUUCAUAAUACGGGUGAUACCAAUUAAUGGGAUUGGCCACACUUCAUCUAAGCGAACAUACUUUGGUAUUAACACAACACAGCCGAUGGCUUUUAUACAGAUAUGGAGACAAUGACCUGCGUAAUUGCAUUCUUUUAUCCUAUGCAAUACUAUUACCUUUUGUUUUCGCUUCUUUUUUUCCCCCCACUGUUUGAUUGGAAUAUGUUUCUUCAUCUAUCUAUUAGAAAAAUCAGUAGUCUCCUGCGUGGGUUAAAUGAGUCAAAGUGUUCCUGAGCUAUUACAACUCGGAUCGUCCUAAAAAUAAGUAAUAGAACUAUACUUUACGGGAGCAUUAAGGUCCGUACCGCGUACCCGUCCCCCAAUGUAUAUAACUCAGGGGGACGGAGGGAGUAUAUUUUUCCUAUAAAAUUAUAUAAAUAAAUAAGAUAUUUUUUUUAUUCGGUUCGGUUCGGUUUUUUCAGUUCGAUUUUCACUUAAAACUAAAACCACAUCUAAUACAAUCAGUUUUGUUUUAAAAUUUUUGAUUUCGAUUUGGCUCAGUUUUUGUCGGUUUUUACCGGUGUCUGGGUUUAGUUUCAGUUUGAAUUCUGUAUAUUACUCACCCUUGUAGACAAUCAAGCUCUGGGUUACAUCAUCCCUUGACAAAAAAUCUUUGUUUACGGGGACAAUUUCUCAACAUCCAUAUAUGAUUAUACGUAUGAGAUGAAUUAAUCUUUCCUAUACGUAAAAUCUUGCAGAAUCUAGCAUGACCUCUCCUAAUCUUUACUUAUAAGGUGAUCAAUUUUGUUAGUUUUCCGACAAGGUAUUAAGUAGGAUCUCUAUCUUGUGUACACGAAAGUAAGAAGAAAGCAUUUAAAAGCUAGCGUCUACAGUAGACUUCAACAUUGCUAGAAACAGUUGGGGCAAUACAUCAUUAAAUAUAUUUCAAUAUCAUCAUCUGCUACUAGCUUCACACUUGCAACAAUCAAUUUGAUUAAUUGUCAAUUGCGCGCUAUUCAAACCAUGCAUUUACAUCAAAUUUGGUUGGAAAGUGCAUUUGCAUGUGCACGAACCGCAGUAGCAUAUUUACUUUUAGUAGGAGGAAAACAGAUGAACACACAGUAAUUAAUCAGCAAUUGAAAACAAUAAUAAUUUUCACGUAUAUACGGCCAGGAUGUGAAUGUAUAAGACUAUAGAGCCUGCAUUGUGGCCGGGGAUUCGGCUUUGAUGGGAUAACAGUUAAUGGAAUCAGCCCAGGGAUUGUUCUGGCUCUGCGAGGCCGGAAUGUUCCUCAAGGCCCUCCAAACAGCGCUGUUACACUUGAAUCCUGAUCCGAAGGCAAUCUGCCAGACUCGAUCCCCGCCCAAAACUCUCCCUUUGGCCUCCGAGUAGGCCAAUUCGUACCAUAAUGAACUGCUGGAGGUAUUGCCAAAGCGGUGGAGUGUCAUUCUCGAGGGCUCCAUAUGCCAAUCUCCGAGCUGCAAAUUCUUCUGCACCUGAUCAAGCACUCCCCUUCCUCCCGCGUGUAUGCAGAAAUGCUCAAACGCCAGCUUGAAAUCCGGUAUAUAAGGCUUCACAUUGGCCUUAAACACUUUCUUUCGUACCAAAGUGAGGAAAAACAUCAAUUGUUCGGUGAACGGAAGCACCAGAGGCCCCAAUGUGGUUAUAUUAGUCUUGAGUGCAUCUCCGGCCACAGCCAUUAGUUCACGGGCAAGGGAAACACCGAUGGUGCCCUGAUCAUCCUCUCUCUGAUACACGCAAUUGUAACAACGAUCAUCUGCACCUUUAUGAGUCCGGACAGUGUGAACCAGCUCAUACUUUGACCGCGCCCUGUCACGGGGCUUGUUGGAGAGCAACAAGGCCGCGCCCCCCAUUCGGAACAGACAAUUACAAAGAAGCAUCGACUUGUCAUUACCGAAAUACCAAUUAAGCGUAAUGUUCUCAGUACUCACAACCACAGCAUACGAGUUAGGGUUCGCUUUUAGCAAGAGCUGUUUCGCUAAAUCAACUGAGAUCACGCCUGCGCUGCAUCCCAUCCCACCAAGAUUGAAGCUCUUAAUAUCGCUCCUCAGCUUGUAAUGGUUCACGAUCAUGGAGGUCAGAGACGGAGUCGGAUUAAACAAGCUACAAUUCACUAUCAGAAUACCGAUAUCAUUCGGUUUAAGGCCAGUUGUCUGAAAUAGAGAGUCGAGUGCUCCAAACAUAACCGCCUCAGCCUCAGCGCGCGCCUCCGCCAUGUUCAAAU
rnacentral:lncRNA from 1 species